rnacentral:misc_RNA from 1 species
GAAAUGCGAUAAGUAAUGUGAAUUGCAGAAUUCAGUGAAUCAUCGAAUCUUUGAACGCACCUUGCGCUCCUUGGUAUUCCUUGGAGCAUGCCUGUUUGAGUAUCAUGAAAUCUUCAAAGUAAAUCUUUUGUUAACUCAAUUGGUUUCUACUUUGGUAUUGGAGGUCUUUGCAGCUUCACACCUGCUCCUCUUUGUUCAUUAGCUGGAUCUCAGUGUUAUGCUUGGUUCCACUCGGCGUGAUAAGUUAUCUAUCGCUGAGGACACUGUAAAAGGUGGCCAAGGUAAAUGCAGAUGAACCGCUUCUAAUAGUCCAUUGACUUGGACAAUACUUUUAUGAUCUAUCUCAAAUCAGGUAGGACUACCCGCUGAACUUAAGC